AAUUCUCAACCCUAUCAGCUUUUGCUGAUAGUGGCUUGGAUGGUGGGGGUUUCUCCUGCUGGCUCCUGUCAGCUCCCCUUAAAUGCAUUAGCUGUUGCCCCGUGCGGACUGUCUAUUGGUGUGAUAAUUAUCUACGCUGUGGAUGUCUGCAAUAAUAGCAUCGCUUCUAACCGUCUGUUCAUUCCGACAAUAAUACAUGACA
rnacentral:misc_RNA from 1 species